GAUGAACGCUGGCGGCGCGCCUAACACAUGCAAGUCGAACGAUUAAAGCACCUUCGGGUGUGUAUAAAGUGGCGAACGGCUGAGUAACACGUGGGCAACCUGCCCCUCUCAUUGGGAUAGCCACGGGAAACCGUGGAUAAUACCGAAUACUUCGGGACUUCCGCAUGGAAGACUCGAGAAAGCUCCGGCGGAGAGGGAUGGGCCCGCGGCCUGUUAGCUUGUUGGUGGGGUAAUGGCCUACCAAGGCAAUGAUGGGUAGCUGGGUUGAGAGACCGACCAGCCAGAUUGGGACUGAGACACGGCCCAGACUCCUACGGGAGGCAGCAGUGGGGAAUCUUGGACAAUGGGCGAAAGCCUGAUGCAGCGACGCCGCGUGCGGGAUGAAGGCCUUCGGGUUGUAAACCGCUUUCAGCAGGGACGAGGCGAAAGUGACGGUACCUGCAGAAGAAGCCCCGGCUAACUACGUG
rnacentral:rRNA from 1 species